CUCUGAAUGGCUGUGAAGUCCAUCUCAUGGACCUGGAGACCAUAUCCCAAGGAAUGAGUUUUCCAUGGAACUUAAUGUGGGGAAUGCAAGCCUCAAGAAAUCAAUUCACUGGAAGGAGUUCUCUUGUUAAUGCUACACGGAAAAGUUAAUGCUACAAAAACUACAGGAAGGACCAAAUUUUGUA